CAUUCGUGUGUCGAUAAAAGUAACAUGUGAGUUACGGCCAAUCAUACGCGUCGCGCAGUCAUUUGUUAAAUCUGUAGGCACUUGAUUUAUUUACUUGGAUUUCUUCGAAGUAUAUAGACUACUCUGGGGUAUUUUGAGUGUACAUUGUGAUAGAUAUUUUCACUUUAAGGAGAAAUUUAACUAUUCACUUUACCCUGGUUUAUGUAAAUAUUCAUAAUGUUUUCCUUCAUUGCCCGGCAUGAGCUGGGGCUCGAUUAUUAUUUCAUUAGAAACUCGAACGGCAUUACAUUGUACGUCGCCGGGGGACGUCGCGCCGGAAAUGAAUCGUAUCGCGACAUGGAUUUCGAUUAUCUACCCGCAGACUUUCGCUUUGGGACAUUGGCGUCAACUGAUCGGCGCAGUGGACAUUGGAAGACGUCGCUUUGAUUACAUUAAGCUUCACGAGGUCAAUCCUAACAGAUGUACUUAAGUCUUGGCUAUAAGGAUGAUUGUUGUGACCUGAGUGCUUAAAUGAGUCUUAUCGAUAUCAAACUCCUAAAACAAAUAAAUUUAGGCAGCUUGAAGAAAAAUAAUAUUAGUUUUAUUAAAUAAUCUUUACUAGCUCAUUGUUCUAGUUAUUUCAAAUAUACAUAUUUGUCGUUUUAAAGAAUACGAUGAAGCAUUUUACUCGUAACAAAAUAUUUCAUUUCAGUUUUACAUUUUCUUUCAAAUUACAAUAUAACCUUUAUCUUUUUUAUAUAUUUGCUGGGAAGGCAAAUGACUACUCCAAAUGAUUAUAAGUGGUAGUAGAGUCCAAAUGCGACGACGACCAGUACAGUCGGGAGGAAUGAUAUGCACUAGCCGCCUUCGCCUUGCCGGCCCGCAAGAUGCCUCUUCACAACUUGUCUUGAGGAAACUUGCAUCAGUUGGACGAAAUUUUUCACAAGCGUAUUCUAUUGGAGCAACGUGGUGCCUCAGCCCAGAAGUAAGACAUUUAUAAGAUGAGUUAUUAUAAUAUUUUACGCAAAAAUAGACGCUGAAAUGUAAGGAAAAUAUUACAAAUGAAACAAAGAUGAGACUGAAAAUACAUAAGCAAACAUAAAACAAUAUCAUUAUGUAUAGUGAUGUAAGCGAGUUUGAAGUCUUCCAUCAUCUUGAACACGUCUUAUCUACGAAUAAACUGAAUUGAUUACAAUUCGAUCCCCAACAAAUGUUCUAUUGAAUAUUUGCUCUGGCCCAACCAUUUGUUCUUGUCGGAGAGACCGAUCAAUCAUAAAAUAAUAAAAGUAAAGGAGGUAUCGUUAUUGCAAUCGCUCGAAAUUGAGUAAAUAAUUAAUUGAACACAAAUCGAAAAUUGUUUUUAUUUCGUCGUUUCGAAUGCUAUCGGCAUCGGUAGCGGCUCGAGGCGGUACCACUGAUAAAAAUUAUAAGAGAUUUGAAGUUAUUACGAAGAGUAUUUAUUUAGAAUUUAAAUUAUAUAUUUAAACAUAGAAUUUUUUUAAUGAAUUAUAUUAAAUAAUGCAGAGUUUUGGGACCAAGGGAUAAAUUUUGGACGUAAAGAAAUUUGUUUUAAUUUACUCACUUCGAAAUUGUCAAAUACUAAAAAAAAAAUUUAGAGAAAGAAUACAUUGUAUUAAGACCAAUAGUUUCAAACACCAAUGUACCAGAUGUGUCCGAUUGUUUUCGACGAAUUGGCGAAAUUUUCUAAUGAUAAUUGCUUUGGGUCU